AGGCAAGUCUUGUACGACCAGCUCCCUUUGAAAGUCCCCAGGGCAGGAAUGCAGCAAGGUAAUUAGGUUGUAGCGGUGCGAUAUAAGUAGCUUGCCU
rnacentral:SRP_RNA from 1 species